rnacentral:rRNA from 1 species
CCUACGGGGGGCUGCAGUGAGGAAUAUUGGUCAAUGGACGAGAGUCUGAACCAGCCAAGUAGCGUGAAGGAUGACUGCCCUAUGGGUUGUAAACUUCUUUUAUAAAGGAAUAAAACGAGUCACGUGUGCCUUUUUGCAUGUACUUUAUGAAUAAGGAUCGGCUAAUUCCGUGCCAGCAGCCGCGGUAAUACGGAGGAUCCGAGCGUUAUCCGGAUUUAUUGGGUUUAAAGGGAGCGUAGGUGGGUUGUUAAGUGAGUUGUGAAAGUUUGCGGCUAAACCGUAAAAUUGCAAUUGAUACUGGGAGUCUUGAGUACAGUUGAGGUAGGAGGAAUUCGUGGUGUAGCGGUGAAAUGCUUAGAUAUCACGAAGAACUCCGAUUGCGAAGGCAGCUUACUAAACUGUGACUGACAUUGAUGCUCGAAAGUGUGGGUAUCAAACAGGAUUAGAUACCCCUGUAGUC